AUUGCACGCUAGCGGCCGGCCUACCACAUGCAAGUCGCACGAGUGGCGGACGGGUGAGUAAUGUCUGGGAAACUGCCCGAUGGAGGGGGAUAACUACUGGAAACGGUAGCUAAUACCGCAUACCAUCGGAUGUGCCCAGAGGGGAUUAGCUAGUAGGUGGGGUAACGUCUCACCUAGGCGUCGAUCCCUAGCUGGUCUGAGAGUGUGACAAGCCACACGGGAACUGAGACACGUUCCAGACUCCUCCGGGAGGCAGCAGGGGGGAAUAUUGCACAAUGGGCGCAAGCCUGAGGCAGCCAUGACGCGUGUAUGAAGAAGGCCUUAGGGUUGUAAAGGACUUUCAGCGAGGAGGCGUUACUCGCAGAAGAAGCACCGGCUAACUCCGGGCCAGCAGCCGCGGUAAUAC
rnacentral:rRNA from 1 species